AUGAAAUUAAAAAACACAAUAAUUUUUACCGACGCUAAAAGUGCCCUACAAGCCUUGGACAGAUUUCCUUUUAGCAGUAACAAUCAUCCAGUCAUUAUUGCAUGUCGUGAUUUAUUGUAUCAAUGUUGUAGCAAAAAUUACACAGUUUCCUUUGCUUGGAUUCCGGGGCACUCAGGAAUCUUUGGCAAUACCAAGGCUGAUAGCCUUGCCAAAGCUGCGGUCAAUGACGGAGAUCUGGUUCCGUACCAAAACUUUUGUUGUGAUUUGGCCCUCCUUCCUAAAUCCCAGUUAUUCAACUCUUGGACACAUAUGUGGCUUUCUUCAAGUCAGACUAAAGGUCGAUAUUACAGCACGAUCCAGGUGGAUAUACCUCCUAAACCGUGGUUUUCAAAUCUGACGUUUGGUAAAGCUACCACUUCGACUCUUAUUCGUAUGAGGCUGGGCCAUGCAUGCAUUCCCUUGCAUCUGGCAAGGCUUAACCUUUUGCCUAGUGAUAUAUGUGAGUGUGGCAAUGACGUUGGGGAUUUUAAUCAUAUAUUCUUUGCCUGUCCUCGACAUGACCGUUCCGCUUUUAUUUCCUCGCUUUUGUACAUUAAAAUUCCUUUUCCUACUUCAAUUUCUGUCCUUUUAUCUAAUAUAAAUAUUGAUGUAUAUAGAAUUUUAGCUAGUUUUAUUUUUCUUAACGAUAUAAAAUUAUAACCAUUUAUGUACUUAUAUACUAAAUUUACCUGAUCCUUUUCCAAAUUCCGUUCCAAUUCUCAAUCCAAUGACACACUUCCUCACCUUUUUGUAUGGCUGACGCACAAACCGUGCAGGCCAAUAAAUGGCGAAAAAAAAAAAAAAAAAAAACUACCUACCUAAAUAUUAUGCUUUACAUUUCGCCUUUCUUAAUUCUAUUUUUAUUAUGUUUGUAAAUUGAAGCAAAAUAUAUAACCAAAUUAAAAUGAAUACGAAACAGCUUAAAACAACCGUGUGCAAAGACAAUCCUGUCGGAUGUUCCAUUAGUGGAACCUGCAGUGAGAUGUGCCCUCAAACAGAAAAGGAUUUACGGAUUAGAGAAAGAAUGAUCAACAUCUUAGAAACAUUUCAGGGCGAGUAUAAAUUAGUGAAGUGUUUCUCUCGUUCAGCAGCAGAUUCUAAAAUGGCAGUUCCAGAAAUCCUAAGACCAUAUCCUAUAUUAAAAAAAACUAUGCAUCACUUAUUACAUGUUGUAUCAAAAAGAACUGAUGUAACGACAACAACUCUGUAUAAUUUCAUUGAUGAUCGGUUAAGAGCAGUACGUCAAGAUAUGACAAUACAGAGACUGCCACUGCAACAAUGUGCAGAGCUGCUCGAACCUAUGAUACGGUUUUAUAUUUACUUUGCAUAUAGGUUGUCUGCCAGGCCAGUUCAUGAGUUUGAUCCAGUAUUGAAUAAAACGUACUUAUUGGAAUGUAUGAAGUGGUACCUUAGUUGUGAAGACAGAAUCAGUGCAACAGAAGAAAACAUGAGUGUGAAUGACCUAGCAGAUUGUUUUAAAAUGAUGGAAUUAAACAGUAAGAAUUUGGGUUGCAGAGUUUUAAUAGAAAGUCUGUAUAUAAUGUGCAAUUUGGACAACAUACAGCCAAUAUUCCGAUAUCUAAGGCUACCACUGCAUAUCAAAAGGACACCACUACUAAAGCUAGCAUAUGAAGUCGCAAUAGCAAACCUCAAAGGAAACUUUGUAAGAGUGUGUAGACUGGCGCAAUCACUCUGCCCCUUGAAUAAGUGUGCAUUUUAUUUAUACCUACCUUCACUACAAAGAUGCAGUCUACACAAGCUGAGCACUGCAUACAACAGCAAGCAAUUGAGUGUACCAACAGCAGCGGUGCAACACUGGAUCUUGUUCACUGACUCCACGGAAGUGGAGAUGUGCUGCAAGCAUUACGGGUUGGCUGUGGACCAGGGCGUAAGGUUUAACAAGACCAUGUUCAAAGAAGACGUUGAGAUGUAUAAACCGCAACUGAAUAAUUUGAAGCUGCCCGAGUUUGAGGAGAUGCUAACUUAUACAUCUGACAUCAAAAUUAAUUGUUAGAACCAUACUUUCUUUAAUGAGUCUUGAGUGAUACAAAAUGAAACCUUGAAGACAGGAAACUGACAAUGACACAAUGAUUAACUUGAUCUCAAUAAUUUAAGAUACGCGCGUUAUCAUGAUCAGAAUGGGAUAUCUUUUGUAAGAUGAACACGUGAUCCUAAGUUCGGCCAGAGCGUAGGUAAGUGAAAUUACUGGGCAAAUGAGACUUAUUAUCUUAUGUCUCAAGAUGACGAGCGAUAUUGUAGUGCCGCUCAGAAUUUUUUGGCUUUUCAAGAAUCCUGAGCAACACUGCACUGUAAUGGGUAGGGCGUAUCAAGCUGAACGUUUUGCUCGUCUCGUCUAAUAAGGUAAAGCAAGCAAGUGGCGAAGGUCGCAAGAUGAUUAUAAAGACUUGAUUUUUUUUAUUUAAUCAUGAGAAGUUUUUAUACCAUUUUGAUUGUGGGUGAACUAUACAUUAUCAUGUUUUUGAUACUCUUGUGAUUUCUAAAAGAAAUUAUAUUUAAUUUAGAGUAGUUAUGGUAAGUUUAAAUAAAACACUUUUUUAGGAUUAAAACUGUUUUUACAUUCGAUUUUGCGUAAAAGUUUCCAGAUCUCGUUUUCAGGGGUACUGCAGAUGAAAAACCCUUUAAAAAGUAUUUUAUUUAAAUGAGCCACACUCGCGUUAAUCCAAGAUAUAAUAAUAAUACUAUGUUAUGGUAAAUACCAUUUUCAAAGAGCGACAGUAUGCAUUAAGUUUUACCCCCUUAUUCAUAAUGGUCCAAUAACUUUAAACAGCCGCUUAGGAGUGUUUUUUCUCAUUCUGACUUAGGUCAAUAGAAGAAGACAGAGUGAGAAUUAGCAAUGCUUUAAGUUAGCAAACUAUUAUGAAUAAGGGGGAUAGUGAUUAGUGCCGAUGUUGUUUCAGAGAUAUGUAUUAUGUAAUUGAUAAUUUUAUACGCUUUACAGCUUGCUCUGGUAUAUAAAGGUUGUUGUAGUUAGGCAAAGGCAUAUUUUUGCUAGUACGUUUUGUGCAGAUGAAAUAUUUUGUAACGAAUAGGUAUGAAUGUAAUUUAUAUUAUAUUUGAUGGUUGCUUAGACUAAGAGUGAUUUUGAUGGGGGAAUUAUUCAGUGUCUGUAACCGUAUGUGUUCUUAUGUACAAGAAUUUGAUAGAAAUAAUUUGUGUUUUAAUAUGAAAAAGACAUAGAUAGCAAUGAGAUAUGAAUGCAUUUUAUUAAUCGUAGACAAGAAUUGUAGUAACUGUCAAUUUAAUAAUUAUUUAUGACAAGAAAUAUGUAUUGAAUAUAUUUAUAAUAUCGGAGCAGAAUUAUUACCAACUUUAAACAAAGUAUCAUUUAAUUAUUUUCUUCAUAUUAUGAGAACAAAUAAAUAUUUACUCAGUUUGAGCGAAGAAUGGUAUUUGUGGGUAGUUCUAAAAAAGAGAUAUUAGGAGAGCUAAGUGAUUGAGAGUUAUGUAUAGGUUUGUAAACUGGGUCUUCCGACGUAACUGAUAAUACAUCUCGCUGUGUUGUGUUCUAAUUUCAGUAUUUUAUCUAUUAUAUUAAUGUUAAAUAUAUAACCAUACUUGGGUUAUAUAAUAAAUAAGUUCUUUUUAGGUUAUAUAUUAUUAAAUUCAUUUCUUUUAAUGUCACAAUGUUCCUUAUUGUUUUUGCUGAUUUGUAUCCUUGUGAAAAAAAGAUUUCUUCCUCGAAAGGUUUGUUUCCGUUGCCAACAUUUAUCAAAUUUCGUUUGAAUUACAUACUAUUGCUAAAAACCUAUGUCUGCAUCUAGCAUGAUAGUAUGUUGUCCUGACGUGUUGUAGAUGUUGAGUUUUGCCCAGACAUACAUCCUAACAAGCAGACAAAAAUCUGUAAACUACUUUUUUGGCUUCUUUAAAAAAAAAUGUACAAUGUACAGUUGUUACUUUGUUACGAUGUUAUUAUAUUUAUAGAUACCGUAAUCUAUUUUAGUAAUAGAUUUAAAGGUGGUUCCGUAAUAAUAUAGUCGGCGACUAUCUUAUAAAUUAAAAGACUCUGUCUCAUUUCAUUAGGGACCUCUACACUUUUACAGCGGAUACUAAUCGAAUAAAAAAAAAUUUCGUUUUACCACUCUGCUAAGCUAUCCCGCACACUUAAAUUAAUCCUUGAUUUACGUUUAAUAUGAAGAGGACAGAGUUUUUUCAAAAACCACACAAAAUUCAAAUAUACGCCAUAAAUUUUGGGGUUGAAACACACAUAUCCCUUGAUUGUGCGUUUUGUACUAUUUUUUUAGGAAAAGAAAUUAAUAAGUGCAUUAAUGGCGAAAAAAUAAAGAUUCCUACUAAACCUCUCUUGUUUGAUUGUUAUUAUGAACUGUUCAUGCUAAGCGUGCAAAAAGGGCAAGUGCAGAAAUAUUCUCUAUUCUGAAGUCGCCAUGCUGAAAAAACUGAUAAAAUAUAUUUCAUUAAUUGCUUCGAAAACGAUAUUGUUGGAGUGCCAAAAUUUUACGAGAUUAUACAGUGUGUCUGUUGAGCCACGGAACGAUAUUUAAGGAGACAACUAGGUACUCGAUUAUCGUUCUAAUUGUGUAACAAUAAAUAUGUUGCUUUAUUUUGGAAAAAUCUUCGUUAUAAAUAAAUGAAGUUUGGAUAUAUCACUACUUGCGUUACUAAUUUGUUAGCGCUAAUAGCACAAUAAAGUAAUAGCACAGUACUUCAACUUAAUGCUAGCGCGCCCUAAUCGACGCUCGCAUACAUACAGUUAGGCUAUGGUCUCCUAUUUUAUGCCGUACGCGGCGUCGGGCGUUGGCGUCAACGUUCAUUUCCGUGGCUUCCAACGUCUGGACGCAACGCACAGCGUCGGCGGUCAAAAGAAUCGAUAAAAUAAAAAUCGAUUUUUCUGUAUUCAAAAUUAAUCGAUUUCUGCGAAAAAUUCGUUUUUUUUUGUAUUAUUUAAAAGUACAUGCUUUUCAUAUUCCCAUUAUAAUCCUAAGAUAUUCAUGUUAACAAUUUAUCAGAUUAUAAAUCAAAUAAAAUUAUAUGAAUAAAAAAAUAAUUACAUAAUAAAAAUAAUCACAAAUUCAAAGCCAAUUUUCCCUUAAAAUUUCAAGGUUAGGAAUUAGGAAACCAAAUAGCAUUAUUGAUACAAAUUUUAGUACUAUUAAACGUUGUAUUUAUUAUAAUAAAAAUGAAAUGAUGAGCAUCCCAACAAAAAGACAAACUUAUUGUCUCAAAAACUAAAAUAUAAAUCAAAUAAAAAAAAAUUGCCAUACAUGUCCAGUCCUAUUUUAAAUUUGACUAGUUCUAAAAUAAAAUUCUUAAAAUGAGGAUUAAAAAAAAUUAAAGGACUACUCUAGUCUCAAAAACUGAAAAUCUAUUUCAGUACGUAACUAAUCGAUUUAUUAAAAAUCCAUUAAUAUCACUAUAAAAUCGAUAACAAAAAAACGAUUACAAGAAAAUAAAAAUCGAUUAUUUUUUAACAGACUUCAAAAAGGAGAAGGUUAUCAAUUCGAUCGGUUUUUAUUUUUAUGUAUGUACACCAAUUACUUUGAGAUUUAUGACCCGAUUUACGUAAUUCUUCGAUUGGACCAAAUGGCAUCUAUUUCGAUGCGAAAUAGAUGCCAUUUGGUGCUUUAAAAAUUUUACAUAGUUUGGCCCAGUAGUUUUCACUUUAUGUACAUUUAUAUCAAAAUUUUUGUCUACCUGGAUGACAUAAUUGUUUUCUGUGUACUGCUUAUUUUUUGGAGUUUUCGUUCAGGUUGAUUAUAUAUUAUUAUUAACUGACACUAAACCGUAAAAAAUAAAAAUAUGAUCUACGUUAAAAAAAACCGACUUCAAAAACUGAAAAGUAUCAAAUAACUAAAAAUUUAAUUUAAUACACCUCUUAUGCAAACCAUUACCUUUAUUAUUAAUAAAGUACUAUUAUAUAUGUGCUACCUAUAGAUAGGUUUUAAGUCGGUGCCGGUCAUCAUUUUGUGUGACGCGAGGGAUGACCUUCAUGCUGCAAUGGUUCGAAAUGACUAGAGGCGGCGCACGGUGUUCGUAUGCCGCGCGGCGUCAACACGCACGUCGACGUGUGAAAGAGACCACAACAGAAAAAUUAUAUAGUAAGCAUUGUGACGCAGCGUACGGCGUAACGAGACGUCGCGUACGGUGUAAAAUAGGAGACCAUAGCCUUAAAUUGAGUUAAAUUAGCUUCGCCACGGCAUCCGCUUCGUCAAACUUUUUGUAUGUACCAACUGUAGGUAUAAAUUUCAAGGAAACCGCUGGUUAAGCUACUGUUCUAUUACAUCUAUUAUGCUUAUAGGUCCAUGUGUUCGUAUGGUGACCAUGCGUUGUGCCAUUUAUUACUUUCGUUUACUUUUUAGUCAAUUAAUAUCUAUUUUUUGUUUUAUUUUUCAUCGGUAUACCCAGAUGUUCGCCAAAUAUCAUGUUAUCGAGUAUCGACUAGUAACUUAGCAGCCGUGCUGUAUGCCAUUCGUAAUAUGUGUGAUUUUUUGUACCGGUUUUGACGGUAUUAUUAAAUAUUUAUCUUUAUAAUGUUGGUAACGUGACAUUGAUAAACUAACAAUUGUUAUUGAUUAUAAAACUUAGAUAGAAAUGAUAUUGUAUUUGUAAAUAAAGGUACAUUAUACACAUA